GUUACAUGUUAGGAUGUUUUGUUCUUUUGCAAGUCUCAUUUAGUAAGACUUUGGAAUUCCUACGAUCAGUUUUCAUGCAUGGUGCUCUUCUGCAAUAGUUUCCUAUGCAAUGGUUAUAGAAGAAUAAAGGAAAUAAUCUUGGGAUAGUGAUUCAAUAAAUAAUAGGUCCCCUGCUAGAGCGCACGCGUCCUUGAGCCACGCAGGUGCAUGAUGACGUCAUACCGUGGCUUCACUGCAGAUUGACCAAAGGAGCAUUAGUGGAAAAAAAAAACAGUGUAGCCCUGAGACAAUAGGAUGAUGUCUGGACCAAUGAGAACUGCCAGCAGGGGGCGCAGGAAUGCUCUUCUCACUUAGCCUCACGACCAAUGAGAAUGGCCAGCAGGGGGCGCAGGAAUGCUCUUCUCUCUUAGCCUCUCGCAGGUGGCGGUAGGAGCGCGCAGAGGGCGCUACGAGCGCGCGCAUGCGUAGCACCCGUAGAGUGGCGCUUACGUCAGUCCACCUCUGGCUCUCGUUGGGAGAAGACGUGCGGUCGUUCGCUCCGUCGUCACUUGAUCCCUGGCUGUCGACGAGAGCAGUCGCAUCGGUCUGCGCUCCUACUGUGAGCUGUCCUAACUUGCCCAGACAUGCCGUGAUGACGUCACAGCUGACGUCACAGGAUGUCCGGAACUGGUGGUCAUAGCUGCGAUGCUUUGCAACCUGCUUCUGUGCUCCGUCACCCAGCGACGGUCAGCGGCCUUUCCGGACCGCUUUCUUCAAGAUGGCGCCGUUGAUCUUCAAUUAAACUCCUUCUCUCCACUCUA